GUAGUCCUGGCCGUAAACGUUGGACACUAGGUGUUGGAGGCAUCGACCCCUCCAGUGCCGCAGCUAACGCAUUAAGUGUCCCGCCUGGGGAGUACGACCGCAAGGUUGAAACUCAAAGGAAUUGACGGGGGCCCGCACAAGCGGUGGAGCAUGUGGUUUAAUUCGACGCAACGCGAAGAACCUUACCGGGGUUUGACAUGCACGGGACAGGUGUGGAAACACACCCUCCCUUCGGGGUCCGUGCACAGGUGCUGCAUGGCUGUCGUCAGCUCGUGUCGUGAGAUGUUGGGUUAAGUCCCGCAACGAGCGCAACCCUUGUCGUUAGUUGCCAGCGGGUAAUGCCGGGCACUCUAGCGAGACUGCCGGUGGUAAGCCGGAGGAAGGUGGGGAUGACGUCAAGUCCUCAUGGCCCUUACAUCCCGGGCUACACACGUGCUACAAUGGCCGGUACAAAGGGUUCCGAUGUCGCGAGAUGGAGGCAAUCCCACAAAGCCGGUCUCAGUUCGGAUUGCAGUCUGCAACUCGACUGCAUGAAGGUGGAAUCGCUAGUAAUCGCGAAUCAGCAGGUCGCGGUGAAUA
rnacentral:rRNA from 1 species